AUUGAACGCUGGCGGCAGGCUUAACACAUGCAAGUCGAGCGAGCGGCGGACGGGUGAGUAAUGUCUGGGAAACUGCCUGAUGGAGGGGGAUAACUACUGGAAACGGUAGCUAAUACCGCAUACCAUCAGAGGUGCCCAGAUGGGAUUAGCUAGUAGGUGGGGUAACGGCCAACCUAGGCGACGAUCCCUAGCUGGUCUGAGAGGAUGACCAGCCACACUGGAACCAAGAACCGUUCCAGACUCCGACGGGAGGCAGCAGUGGGGAAUAUUGCACAAUGAGCGCAAGCCUGAUGCAGCCAUGCCGCGUGUGUGAAGAAGGCCUUCGGGUUGUAAAGCACUUUCAGCGGGGAGGCGUUACCCGCAGAAGAAGCACCGGCUAACUCCGUGCCAGCCGCCGCGGUAAUUC
rnacentral:rRNA from 1 species